rnacentral:rRNA from 1 species
AUACGGAGGGUGCAAGCGUUAUUCGGAAUCACUGGGCGUAAAGGACGCGUAGGCGGGUUGGCAAGUCAGAUGUGAAAUCCUACAGCUUAACUGUAGAACUGCAUUUGAAACUGCUAACCUAGAGUAUGGGAGGGGGAGAUGGAAUUAGUGGUGUAGGGGUAAAAUCCGUAGAUAUCACUAGGAAUACCGAAAGCGAAGGCGAUCUCCUGGAACAUAACUGACGCUAAGGCGUGAAAGCGUGGGGAGCAAACAGCAGUAGAAACCCUAGUAGUCC